GAUGAACGCUGACAGAAUGCUUAACACAUGCAAGUCUUUGGCGAAGCUGUGCUUGCACCGCCUAGCCAAGGCGGACGGGUGAGUAACGCGUAAGGAACUUGCCCUGCAGUCAGGGAUAACAGACGGAAACGACUGAUAAGACCUGGUAAAGUCAGGCGGACUCAUGUCCAGCCUGAUGAAAAGAGAUGCUGCAGGAGAGCCUUGCGUCCUAUUAGCUUGUUGGUGGGGUAACGGCCCACCAAGGCGAUGAUAGGUAGCCGGCCUGAGAGGGUGGACGGCCACAAGGGGACUGAGAUACGGCCCUUACUCCUACGGGAGGCAGCAGUGGGGAAUAUUGGACAAUGGGGACAACCCUGAUCCAGCAAUUCUGUGUGCACGAUGAAGGUUUUCGGAGUGUAAAGUGCUUUCAGCAGGGAAGAAAAAAAUGACGGUACCUGCAGAAGAAGCGACGGCUAAAUACGUG
rnacentral:rRNA from 1 species